GGCAUUUUUUUCUACAUGCUGAGUGUGGCCCAGACCUCAUUAAGUUGUUUUCAUAGCAAGAUGAGGAAAAGGACCUUUUUGAUGGAUCUUUCAGGGAUUCUACUGCCAGAUAGUUUUCGACUUUCACACAGACUUGGUCCUGAAGUACUGUUGACUUGAGUAAAGGCAAGACUGAAAAGCAUUGUAGCAUUUUCUCAUAAGGAUGAAUUGCAUGCACCCUGUCCUUUAACACUUGCCACAGAAUACUACAACAACAAGACAAGUGAUUCAAAACAGUGGAAUAGUGUCAUUUGGUCUGAUAUUCAGAGAAGCCAUCUGGACUCAUCACUGACCUGGAUCUGCAAACCUCAUGGUAUCUCAGCCUUCAGGCUCCUAAUCCCAGCUGGUCAGACCUCAUAGCAUCUGCAGGGAAAUGGAAAUGAUGGAGAGGGAUGUUGCAGCUGCUUGAAGAAAAAAUAGCUGGUACUUUCUCAUCUCAAAGGCUGGUACCCCUUGGAACCAUUGCAAGGUAUGAAAAAUAUUCCCUCUAGUUUCAGUAUGCUCUUUGACACACAGGAGUUCCCUUUAGUUCUGAAAUUGCCUUCACCUACAUUUCUCAUACGCUACUGGGAGUUUGCCAAAGCACAGUUAUUUUUAUACUUGGACUUUGGUACGUCAGAUUCGCUAAACUACAUCUUUAAAGGGAUACAGUAAAAAUACUGCAAACUGGGGAGAAGCACAGAAAGCUACUAGAGGAAGUUUGUUAGCAUUCACUUGUUUGGUUCAACAGAUCUUUUGGUCUAGAGGGCAGACAAGAGAGCUUAUCUCAUGGUUUUAAAGGGAAAAUGGAGAAGGAAAAGGAAAUUUGUUGUGUGUGGGUGUGAAUAUUCCAUUUGUAUAUUGCUGAUCUACUGGGUUGCUUUAAAUGAAGAACAAAAAUUUCCAAUUGUUUUGUUGUUCCCUUUGUUGUUUUCUUCCGUUUGGAUCUGCUUAUAUUCUGUUACAAUAUAUGAGGGCUGCUCCAUAAGUAAUACCUCCAAUUUUAUUAUGUUGCCCCACGAUGUCAGAGGCAAAUGCUGGUGUAUGGCAGUAGAGAUUGAACCUUCCUGUUGGUGUCCUGUUACAUUUUGAUGUCAUGUGACAGAUGGCAGCAGACGUGCAGUCUGCCAAAACGGUGUCUGACAUGGAAGUGCAUGUGAAGCAAAGGUGUGGAAUCGAAUUCCUCCAUGCGGAAAAAGAUGGUACCAAUUGACAUUCGCCAACACUUGUUGAACAUUUAUGAAGAUGAAACAGUAGAUGUGAGCACAGUGAGGCAGUGGGUGGUGCGUUUCAGCAGUGAUGAUAGUGACAGUGGGUCACCUACACUGGUGCAGAUUUUUAUGAGCAUGACAUGCUGAUUCUAGUCUGUCACUGGCAAAAAUGCAUAGCUAAUAGUGAUGACUUUGCUGAAAAUAGUGUUUUGUAGCUGAGAAUAUGCUCUAUCAAAUACUGCUUUACUGUAUUCUUUGUAUCUGUUGUAGCAUCUGUGGAAAUAAAGAAGUAUUACUUUUGGAGUGAUCAAAAGUAUAUAUAAAAGCAAUCUUAGUAAUGUCACUGGUUGAAUUUCUGCAGUAUUGAACUGGAUGUUGUUUGGGUUUCUCAAUGUGUGAAUCAUUCUACUGGUGUAAUUUAAGCUCCUUUACGCCUAUAUGACAUUUAUUAGCACUGUCUUAUCUGCUAGUCCUCCCAAAAGAGAGGGGCCCAUUGAACCAGAUGUCUUUUCUUAUGCAGAGGCAGCUUUAAUGCUUCAGGCUUUUCUAUGCCUUAAAUACUUGUUCUAGAGUUCCAGCUUUGGCUACAUACCUACCUAGCAUAGGGUAGUACUGGAUUCCAGUUUAGCUAAUAUGAAAAAUACUGAGCUCUGUAAGCUAAAUAGCAUAAUAAAUGUUUUCCCAUCUUUUUCAUCAUUGCUUUAAUAGGGCUGUCUGUUUGCUAGCAUAUUACAGAAAAUACAGCAAUGUGAAGCUUGUAUGUUUUUUGGUGUUUUCAUUGGUUCUAGCUGAAUGUUGCACUACGGACAUGCCCGUGGCAUUUAUGAUACUUUCUGGUUUAAUCCAUGUGUCUUCUCUCAUGCAGUGUAGAUUUUGCAGCCAUUUACAUUAUCAUUGG